GUAGGUGGCAAGCGUUGUCCGGAAUUAUUGGGGCGUAAAGCGCGCGCAGGGCGGUCCUUUAAAGUCUGAUGUGAAAGCCCACGGCUCAACCGUGGAGGGUCAUUGGAAACUGGGGGACUUGAGUACAGAAGAGGAAAGCGGAAUUCCAAGUGUAGCGGUGAAAUGCGUAGAGAUUUGGAGGAACACCAGUGGCGAAGGCGGCUUUCUGGUCUGUAACUGACGCUGAGGCGCGAAAGCGUGGGGAGCAAACAGGAUUAGAUACCCUGGUAGUCCACGCCGUAAACGAUGAGUGCUAAGUGUUAGGGGGUUUCCGCCCCUUAGUGCUGCAGCUAACGCAUUAAGCACUCCGCCUGGGGAGUACGGCCGCAAGGCUG
rnacentral:rRNA from 1 species